UUUCCUGCUUUAAACUUCUCAACAGUAAAAUUAUGGGCAUGGCCGCUGUGCCUGCUCAUUCCUGCUCAGUAAAAAUUACCAAGUUUGUUGGGACUUGCGAUAAUUCAGUGGUUAUAAGGACUUGUUCUUCAGAGGGGGACCCAGGUUUGAUUCCCAGCAGUUACAUGUAUGGUAGCUUAUAAUGUCUGUAACUCCAGUUUCAGUGGACUUAAUCUAAUGCUUUAUUGUGCCAUGACAUUGGUGGGCACUAGGUAUACAUGUGGUACAUAUACAUACAUGUACUCAAAAUACUCAUGCAUGUUGAAUCGAAUAAAAUAAAUAAAUCUGAAAUGAUAGUUUACAGUAUGGUUAAGAUUGGUUCUUGCUUCCAAAAAAGAUAAGAAUUUUAUUGAAGAUUUUCUAGUUCAUUGAUACAUAGAGUAGAGCUACUUUAGUACUGCUAAAAGUUUUUCAGUGAAAUCAAAUCUUUACUUAAACUUUUAUCUUUUUUUUUUAAAGAUUUAUUUAUUUAUUUAUUAUAUGUAAGUACAUUGUAGCUGUCUUCAGACACUCCAGAAGAGGGGGUCAGAUCUUGUUACGGAUGGUUAUGAGCCACCAUGUGGUUGCUGGGAUUUGAACUCUGCACCUUCUGAAGAGCAGUCGGGUGCUCUAACCCACUGAGCCAUCUCACCAGCCCCAACUUUUAUCUUUAUUAUGGGUUAUGGGCAUUUUGAUGGCAUGUAUAUAGCUGUAUUAUAUGUGCCUCUGCUGCCCAUCUGGGCCUGAGAGGCAGUUGGAUCUCUUGGAACUGGAGUUGGACAUAGUGCUGAGCUGCCUUAGAUGGGUGCAAGGAAUCGAACCCAUGUCCUUAACCAAUGCUGUUAACCUCUGAGCUCUCUCUCUAGCCACUCUUUAAAAUCUUUCUCAGCCGUGUAAAUAUGAACAUUUUUAUUUCAAUUUUAAUAGGUGGAGAGAGAAGGAAUACUAAUACAGUGAGAUGAUAUAAUUUAGAAAGAUGACUUUAUGUUGUCUACGGCCAUAACAUUUGAAGUCAUAUACUUUUAUCAAAUCUAAGGUGCUACUGAUUUUGUACCAUUACUUAUGUAUAAGUAAGAGAAAAAUGUCAAAUAUUAAGGCUUUACUUGAGGUUCUGCUUUCAUACAAAUGAAAAUAGAGAUAAUAUAUACACCUUGAAUUGAAGAAAAUGCAACUAUUCUCCCCCAAUGUCUUGGAUUGCUUUAAAAAUCUAUAUACAUAUAUAAUUUCAUAUUCCUGAUCUAUUUUGUGUUUGGGUGUACGUGUCCACAUUCACAUGCUUGGUACAGUGCCCAUGUAGCAAUCAGAAGACAACCAGAGAGUUGGUUUUCUCCUUCUACUAUAUAGGUCCUGGGGAUUGAACUUGGGGACAAAUACCUUUUCCAUUAAAGUUCUCGUGCCAACCCACUUGAACUAAUUUUCAGGUGAUUUUACCUUAUAGGAAGGAAUGCUUGCUUUUAUGCUUUCUUCAUGUGUUUUUGUUUGAAGGUGUGUAUCAAUAAUUAUUUAGACUUAUUUUUAUAAUAUAACAGUAAGUUAGUGUACAAAAUAAAAAUGUUAUUUAACAAAAGAAACCAUGCUGUAAUGUGGUUUACCUAUAAAAGACCAACUUCUUUUUCAGUAUUCUGAUGCCUCCACCCAAAUCUGAGAAAGAAAAAGAUCCUUAAGCACCCAUUUAUUUACCUGAGUGCAGAGGGUGAGGCUCAAGUUCAUGUUUGUGCAGCAGGCACUUUACCAAGUGAGCUGACUCCCAAGUUCUAUUGUCUGUUCUUUUAGAACUAAAUUUAUCUGUAAAACCCUGGGUAGAAAGUUACAGUAGUUCAGUUCUGUUAGAAACGCAGACUUGAAAAUAGGGGGCACUUAUGAGUUUAGAGUAGCAUUCUUAACCUGUGGGUGGAAACUCCUUUAAGGGUCUAAUGACCUUUUCACAGGGGUUGCCUAAGACUAUCCAAAAAUAGAUAUUUACAUUAUGAUUCACAACAGUAGCAAAACUACACUUAGGAAGUUGCAAUGAAAAUAAUUUUCUGGUUGGGGAACAUCACAACACGAGGAACUGUGUUAAAGGGCCACAGCAUUAGGAAGGCUGAGAGCCACUGGUUUAGAGGAAAGAAAAAAAUAUGAAAGAAAGAAAACUGGGCAUGGUGCUAUAAGCUUGUAAUCCCAGCACUUGAGAGAGAAAAAGCCUGGAGGAGCAGAAGUUAGGAUCAUCCGCAGAUGCUUAGACUGUCCAGGCCUGAGAUACUAAACUCCCGUCUCAAAACCUUUUUUUAAAACAUUGUGUCACAUCUUAAACUCUGAGAACUGGACUUCAUUGUCUAAUAUUACCUUAAAUGUUUAAUAUAAUAGUUUAAGUUGGUUACUUAAACAUUGAAAGAUGAAAGUAUAUUCUAAAAUCUAAUCAUUAAAUAAUUAAUUAGUGGUCAGCUAUAUGUUGUAACUAUUACAAAAGAUACAAUAUAAUAGUUAACACAUUGAUUUCAUUUUUGUAUGUGUAUAGAGCUUAAAAUGUACAGGGAAGAUGGAUGGAUAAUUCUUAGCUUCAUCACCAAGAAGAAAAGAAAGCCGGGCGUGGGGGCGCACGCCUUUAAUCCCAGCACUCGGAAGGCAGGGGCAGGCAGAUUUCUGAGUUCGAGGCCAGCCUGGUCUACAAAGUGAGUUCCAGGACAGCCAGGGCUAUAUAGAGGAACCCUGUCUCAAAAACCCAAACCAAACC
rnacentral:lncRNA from 1 species